ACCUGAAGCCAGCGCUGCCGACGCUCCACCAAUGAGCUGAAGUGGUCUGGGUGACUAUAGUCUCUUUAUUAGCUAGCAGGGGAUUUAUCAUACCUAUCCCCUUCCUAGCCAGUAUGAUCCUUCUAAAGGUCAUCACUGGCAGGGCCGGACUGGGGACAAAAUUCGGCCCGGGAAUUUUUUAAUCAAAGCGGCCCACUGAGAAGGGGACGGGGCAGAUAGGGUGUGUUUUGUCAUAACAAAUGACAAGCAUGCACCCUGUAAAAGUAAGCAUGUUGGUUCAAUGCUCUUCCAUGCUCUGCUAAAGAGCUCUUGCAUGAGAAAAGGGCCCUGUAUUUG